GAUGAACGCUGACAGAAUGCUUAACACAUGCAAGUCUACUUGAUUCUACUUCGGUAGUUGAUGGUGGCGGACGGGUGAGUAACGCGUAAAGAAUCUGCCCUUUAGUUUGGGAUAACCUUUGGAAACGAAGGCUAAUACCAGAUAUUAUGGAGACGUCGCAUGGCGACUCCAUGAAAGCUAUAUGCGCUAGAGGAGGACUUUGCGUCCCAUUAGUUAGUUGGUGAGGUAAUGGCUCACCAAGACCGCGAUGGGUAGCCGGCCUGAGAGGGUGAUCGGCCCCAAGGGAACUGAGACACGGUCCUUACUCCUACGGGAGGCAGCAGUGGGGAAUAUUGGACAAUGGGCCACAAGCCUGAUCCAGCAAUUCUGUGUGCACGAUGAAGGUCUUCGGAUUGUAAAGUGCUUUCAGUAGGGAAGAAAAAAAUGACGGUACCUACAGAAGAAGCGACGGCUAAAUAUGUGCCAGCCGCCGCCGUAACAC
rnacentral:rRNA from 1 species